rnacentral:misc_RNA from 1 species
CCGCAAGACGCCGGAGCCCGCUGCCUCGCCUGCUCCGCCGUGUCCCCAACACCGCGGCCCAUACGUCGAGCACCUGGCCCAGGCCGGACGCGUUCCAGGCCUCCGCGAGCGCCACGAACCUGUCGCCGCCGAGCGCCAGGGCGAGCGCGACCGCGGCGACCUCCUCGGCCCGUGUCUUUCUCCUCCUGCCCAACCUCAACCACCCGCCGCCCCCGCCGCCGGGAAGAACGAUGAGGGGGCGCGGGCGGGGAAGCAUGCGGCGCAGGGAGGUGGAGACGAGGCGGCGGAGGGGCAGCGGCGGAAAUGCGACGGUCUUGGUUUUGGGCUUCGGGCGUCGGCGGCGGCCGCCGCCGCCACGGCUGCAGCUGAUGGUGGUGGAGACGGGGUCGGCGAGGGAGAGGCGUGGGGGUCGGAGGAGUUGGGGUUGGAGCAUCGUGCGAACUCGGGCGAUGGAUGGGUGAAGG